GAUAGCUCAGCUGAUAGAGCACAAGACUCUUAAUCUUGGGCCCAUGGGUUCGAGCCCCAUGUCAGGCA